rnacentral:rRNA from 1 species
ACCGCGCACCACAGAGGGCAAGCGUCCCGUAGGCGAAAGCGCACUGACCUGCCGGAGAAGCUCCUGAGUAGGACCGCUCCCGUGAAACGCGGUCCGAAUCUGGGGGGACCACCCUCCAAGGCUAAGUACUCCCUAGUGACCGAUAGCGGACUAGUACCGUGAGGGAAAGGUGAAAAGUACCCCUGAAGGGGAGUGAAAUAGUACCUGAAACCGCGUGCCUACAAGCGGUCGGAGCAUUCUUCGGAAUGUGACGGCGUGCUUUUUGCAUAACGAGCCGGCGAGUUACUCGUCCCUGGCAAGGUUAAGCGAUGAGCGGAGCCGCAGCGAAAGCGAGUCCGAAUAGGGCGAUCCAGUCAGAGGCGGUAGACCCGAAACUGAGCGAGCUACCCAUGGGCAGGCUGAAGCGGGGGUAAGACCCCGUGGAGGGCCGAACCGACCUAGGUUGAAAACUGGGCGGAUGACCUGUGGGUCGGAGUGAAAGGCUAAUCAAGCUCAGAGAUAUCUGGUUCUCUCCGAAAUAUAUUUAGGUAUAGCCUCGAGUGAGUGCGUUUCGGCCGUAGAGCACUGCUUGGACUAGGGGCCCUACCAGGUUACCGACUUCAGGCAAACUCCGAAGACCGUUAGGUGUACCCGGGGAGUCAGCUUGCGGGGGAUAAACUUCGUAGGCAAGAGGGGAACAACCCAGACCGUCAGCUAAGGUCCCCAAGUGUUAGCUAAGUGGAAAACGAUGUCCGAGUGCCGAGACAACCAGGAGGUUGGCUUAGAGGCAGCCACCCUUGAAAGAGUGCGUAACAGCUCACUGGUCAAGUGUUCGGGCGCGGAAAAUGUAACGGGGCUCAAGCUAACCACCGAAGCUACGGGUGUGCGCGAUCCUUCGGGAUCACGUGCGCGGUAGGAGAGCGUUCUGAAGCUUGCGAAGCGGCGGGGGAACCCAGCCGUGGAGGCUUCAGAAGUGAGAAUGCCGGCGUGAGUAACGAAAGAGGGGUGAGAAUCCCCUCCACCGAUUGUCCAAGGUUUCCUGAGCAACGUUCUUCGGCUCAGGGUCAGUCGGGACCUAAGGCGAGGCCGAAAGGCGUAGUCGAUGGCCAACGGGUUGAUAUUCCCGUACCACGUCUGUCCGCUAUCACCGAUGGGGGGACGAGGAAGGCUAAGGGACCCCCGCCGACGGUUGUGCGGGGGUAAGUGUGUAGCCAGGGCUCCUAGGAAAAUCCGGGAGCCCGUUACGGUGAGGCACGAUGCCAGCUGGCCGGAAGGCCGGCGAGUCCCUGACGCCAUACCUCCGAGAAAAGCCUCUAGGGAGGACAGUGCGUGCCCGUACCAAAACCGACACAGGUGGACAAGUAGAGAAUACUAAGGUGAUCGAGAUAACCCUCGUUAAGGAACUCGGCAAAAUCGCUCCGUAACUUCGGGAGAAGGAGCGCCCCGGUAGGGUGAAGCGCCUUGCGCGCGGAGCCCGAGGGGGCCGCAGUGAAUUGGUUCAAGCGACUGUUUACCAAAAACACAGGUCUCUGCAAAGUCGUAAGACGACGUAUAGGGGCUGACGCCUGCCCGGUGCCGGAAGGUUACGUGGAGGUGUUAGGGCUUCGGCCCGAAGCACUGAAACUAAGCCCCGGUAAACGGCGGCGGUAACUAUAACCGUCCUAAGGUAGCGAAAUUCCUUGUCGGGUAAGUUCCGACCUGCACGAAUGGCGUAACGACUUGAACGCUGUCUCAACGAGGGGCUCGGUGAAAUUGCAGUCUCGGUGAAGAUGCCGAGUACCCGCGGCUAGACGGAAAGACCCCGUGAACCUUUACUACAGCUUGAUAUUGGAGUCUGAGGCACCUCGCUCAGGAUAGGUGGGAGGCUGUGAAGCCAGGACUGCGGUCCUGGUGGAGCCACCCUUGAGAGAUCGGAAGAGCACACGUCUGA